AUUGGGUUAAUAUUACUGUUUUGUACCAGAAAACUAACUACACUUUUCACUGCUGCUGAAGGGAUGGCUUGAUUGGUAAUGAUCUGGACUAUUUUUGCUGAACGUUUUCAUUGUGCACACUUAGCAUGCAGGGAGUCUGAAAGCAAGAAAGAAAAUCAGUGCAACCUGGAAUGCAAGAUCGAAUUUUACACUCUGGUUUUUGUUUUGCUACACAUCCAGUAAGCAGCAAUUCAGAUAUUUAGUUUAUUUUAAUGUCAUGAUUUUAUUAGAAACUAGAAAUUUUUUUUUUUUUUUUUUUUUUACUUCAUUGUUAAAUUUGAAAUAAGUACAUACUCAGUCCUUCUAAAUGCAAUUAGGAAAAUAAAAGGCUCUUUUCCCACUGAGUUACACUGUCACUUGAGAAGUAUUACCUUUAGUAGUGAUUGUUUGGUUUGUUUGUUUGCCUUUAGAGACAGACUCUCCCUUUGAUACUCAGGCUGGCCUCGAAUUCCUGAGCUCAAACGAUCCUCCUGCCUCAGCCUCCUAGAAGCUGGGACUGCAAUAAUCACUUUGAUUGGUACACCCCGAUCUUUGGAGGAAGUCUGCAACAAAGCCUCGUGUAAGUCAGUCACAGUGUUAAACUGAACCCAGGAGAUUUCACAGUAUAGAGAAAGCCCAUAUCAAGUCCAAGCAACAAUGAACAAAUAUAGUCAGAGCGUGUGGGAGCAGCUACCUAUAAAGAUUCUGUCCUCCCAGAGAACAUCCCAGGCAUGGAAGUGACACACUGCCUACCAACUGCCUACAUUUGAUUUUAUGAACAUCCUCUUUUCUGAUGAAAAACUUCCAUUUGUGCUUUACGCAAGGAUGCUCCCUUUCCAAACAGGCAAAAGAGUAAAAACGAUCCCCAUGACUUAUGAAAGACAGCUUUUUAAAGUGUAUUGGAGUCUCUACAAUGUACUUUUUAUGGUGAUCCUAACAGUUUUCUCAAGGACAGACAUAAUGGAGAAUCUGCCCUAA
rnacentral:lncRNA from 1 species